rnacentral:rRNA from 1 species
CCUACGGGAGGCAGCAGUGAGGAAUAUUGGUCAAUGGGCGAGAGCCUGAACCAGCCAAGUCGCGUGAAGGAUGACUGUCUUAUGGAUUGUAAACUUCCUUUAUACGGGAAUAACAAGAGUCACGUGUGACUCCCUGCAUGUACCGUAUGAAUAAGCAUCGGCUAACUCCGUGCCAGCAGCCGCGGUAAUACGGAGGAUGCGAGCGUUAUCCGGAUUUAUUGGGUUUAAAGGGUGCGUAGGCGGUUUGUUAAGUCAGCGGUGAAAUCUAGAGGCUCAACCUCGAAACUGCCGUUGAAACUGGCGAACUUGAGUGUAGAUGAGGUAGGCGGAAUUCGUGGUGUAGCGGUGAAAUGCAUAGAUAUCACGAGGAACUCCAAUUGCGAAGGCAGCUUACUAAGGUACAACUGACGCUGAAGCACGAAAGCGUGGGUAUCAAACAGGAUUAGAUACCCUGGUAGUCCACGCAGUAAACGAUGAUAACUGGGCGUAUGCGAUAUACAGUAUGCUCCUAAGCGAAAGCGUUAAGUUAUCCACCUGGGGAGUACGCCGGCAACGGUGAAACUCAAAGGAAUUGACGG